rnacentral:rRNA from 1 species
CAGUCGCCGCGGUAAAACGAAGGGGGCUAGCGUUGUUCGGAUUUACUGGGGGUAAAGCGCACGUAGGCGGACUUUUAAGUCAGGGGUGAAAUCCCGGGGCUCAACCCCGGAACUGCCUUUGAUACUGGAAGUCUUGAGUAUGGUAGAGGUGAGUGGAAUUCCGAGUGUAGAGGUGAAAUUCGUAGAUAUUCGGAGGAACACCAGUGGCGAAGGCGGCUCACUGGACCAUUACUGACGCUGAGGUGCGAAAGCGUGGGGAGCAAACAGGAUUAGAUACCCCCGUAGUCCCUGUCUCUUAUAC